CCUAGUUGGAUUCGUUAACCACUGCGCCACGACGGGAACUCCCAGCUUUUCCCUCUUAAAUGACCAGUUCCCAGUUAGCCAGGGCACUGUCCCGCCUGCCCAGCCCUCUCGAGGCCGACUGCCUCUGUUUCCCCACCGUUUCCCGGCACCUGAAGCCAGCAGCUCCCUGAGGUGGGUACAUCCUGGCUUGUCCGUGGGAUGCCCAGAAAGGCUCCUCGCCUGCCCACGGGGGCCCUGCAGGACCAGCUUCCCGGGGCGAACAUAAUCCAAAUGUCAGCUUCUCAGCAAACGAAAUUCUGCAGCCCUUUUGGGGGCAGGGGGCACAAGAACGGUGCCUGCAGAGAGCCCCUUCCCACCUACAUGACUGGUGUCUCCCUCUCACCGCAGAGACUCUCACAGGAGGCACGUGAAGGACGAGGCAGCCUUGCUGGGUGUCGAAGAGAAAGUCCCCAGAGCCCCCGUGAAAAGAAGGAAGAGCCCUCCCGCAGCAGCUCUGCACCCAGAUGCCGCCGUCUUGGUGCCCAUUGUCCAGGGCUGGCCCUGACUCUCUGGAAGGGCUGCGGGCUCUGAGGGACGCCCAUGCUCCACAUCCAGGGACCAUGCACCCUGGGAAGGGCACCCUGGGGGAGGGGGCAUGGCCGGAGGAGGGGGGGCAGUUGGGAAGCACUCACCUUGGGCAGCCCGGUUGAAAGAGAGGGCAAGGAGCAGGGGGAGCAGCGGGAGCCCCAGGAGCCGGGCCAUUUCGCUGGGUGGCAGGAAAGGGCAAGGCCCCUCUUAAGGGCCUUCACGACUCUUCCUGUCUACAGCGGCACCCAACUGAGUGCAACCACCUCACAGGCGCAGCUCUAGGGUGGUGGGGGCAGGAUGGAGCCAGAGGUUGGGGGGGGGGCUGUCUGCAGUGACUGGAGGUUGGGCACUUCCAGGAGGGCUUCCUGAAGGUGGUGCCCUGAGCAAGGAGAGGCACUGCGGGCGAGGCUGGGGGGCCGCCCGCAUGCCCUCCCCCAUCUUGCUCCGUGCCCACAGGUAGACUGUGGUCCUGGCCUCUGGCAUCUCCACAGAGCACAGCAGGGAGAGGAGGGGGAGGGAGGAGGUCAAGGUUGGGUGGGGACAGGACCAGGAGGAAGACAAGGGGGCCCCCAGGUCGGGUUGGGGGUCCAGCCGCCCUGGUCCUCUGGUUCCCUUUCUGCUGGGACCUGAUCUGUGCCCAGAAACUUGGAGUAGCACCCCACCCCCAACCCCACCCCUGCAGUGGGAGGGGUGGGACUGCCACACUGAGCCCGUGGGUGCGAUGUGGCCCUAGAGAAGGGCCAGGGCACAUGGCCAAGGCUGCGGCUGCCCCAGUGGCUCUGAUUCUGCCUCUUGUAGGUUCGAGGGCUCAGCUCAGUCACCACCCUGCCCCCCAAGCAGAGGGAGACCUGUGCCCUCACGGAGGCCCCCGGGGAAGAAGAGACUGGACGAUGAGGAGGUGCCUUUCUCCACCCGGGAGCCCUGGGCCAGACGGCCCAGCCUCAAGCCGCCCAAGGCCACGUGCGCACGUGUGCACAGGAGCGAGCGCCCGGCUCACACAUGGACCCACAGCCCCCAGCUGUUUCCUCCCCGGCAUCCCCUCCGCUGGCCGGUCAGACGCUCCUGUCUACUGAUGGCUCAGAGUCUCGGGGUGUGGCUGGGGUCUGGGGUGGGGGCAGUUUAGCGGGGGCUGCCUUCCUGCCCACAGCCUCUCCUUGCACUCGAGACGGAUCUGUCUGGGGACAGACCCUAGGACUUGCCCCGAGGGUCCUAGGAAGUUGCUGGCCGGAGGGGACGAGGGCGCCGGCUUUGCAAACGAGCCCCCUUCCUGGUCUCCUGCUGCCUUUGUUCACCACGGACACUCUCCGGAUGCCUGCAUGUGCCAGCCGCUGUGCCAAGAACGGAGGACAAAACAGACACGACGCUGGUCUGGAGGAGCAGACCUACGCCAGGACACACAGCACGUGUCAGGGGAGGGGCUGCAGGAACGAAGGGCCCAGGAGGGAAGUCCUUGAGAACAUGAAUAAGCAACAUGCAGAAACUGAAAUGAGUCACAGACGCAGACCGGCCUCUCCUGGGUUUCUCGCCUGGCAUGUGCAGGGCCUGCCCAGCUUAUGCGAGCCCCUCCCCAUGUGACAGCAAUGUUGAAAUCACCUCUGAUAUCUCUCUCUC